rnacentral:rRNA from 1 species
AACGAACGUUAGCGGCGCGCCUAACACAUGCAAGUCGAGCGAGAAAGGGGCAACCCCCGGUAAAGCGGCGCACGGGUGAGUAACACGUAGGUAAUCUACCCUCGGGUGGAGGAUAACUUUCCGAAAGGAAGGCUAAUACUGCAUGAGACCACGGUUCCGGAGGGGAUUGAGGUCAAAGCCGGCCACUGUACACAAGCUGGCGCCUGAGGAUGAGCCUGCGGCCCAUCAGCUAGUUGGUAGGGUAAUGGCCUACCAAGGCGAAGACGGGUAGCUGGUCUGAGAGGAUGAUCAGCCACACUGGAACUGAGACACGGUCCAGACUCCUACGGGAGGCAGCAGUGGGGAAUCUUGCGCAAUGGGCGAAAGCCUGACGCAGCGACGCCGCGUGAGUGAUGAAGGCCUUCGGGUUGUAAAGCUCUGUGGAGGGGGACGAAUAAGGGCUGGCUAACGAUCCAGCUUGAUGACGGUACCUCUUUAGCAAGCACCGGCUAACUCUGUGCCAGCAC